GACAGAGGGUGCAAACGUUGUUCGGAUUUACUGGGCGUAAAGCGCGUGUAGGCGGCUUUACAAGUCGGGUGUGAAAUCCCCAGGCUUAACCUGGGAACUGCAUUCGAGACUGCAUUGCUAGAGUAUGGGAGAGGGAAGUGGAAUUUCCGGUGUAGCGGUGAAAUGCGUAGAUAUCGGAAGGAACAUCAGUGGCGAAAGCGACUUCCUGGACCAAUACUGACGCUCAUGUGCGAAAGCGUGGGGAGCAAACAGG
rnacentral:rRNA from 1 species